rnacentral:rRNA from 1 species
GGGCCCUAUACAUGCCAAGUAGAACGCUGAAGAGAGGAGCUUGCUCUUCUUGGAUGAGUUGCGAACGGGUGAGUAACGCGUAGGUAACCUGCCUUGUAGCGGGGGAUAACUAUUGGAAACGAUAGCUAAUACCGCAUAACAAUGGAUGACACAUGUCAUUUAUUUGAAAGGGGCAAUUGCUCCACUACAAGAUGGACCUGCGUUGUAUUAGCUAGUAGGUGAGGUAAUGGCUCACCUAGGCGACGAUACAUAGCCGACCUGAGAGGGUGAUCGGCCACACUGGGACUGAGACACGGCCCAGACUCCUACGGGAGGCAGCAGUAGGGAAUCUUCGGCAAUGGGGGCAACCCUGACCGAGCAACGCCGCGUGAGUGAAGAAGGUUUUCGGAUCGUAAAGCUCUGUUGUAAGUCAAGAACGGGUGUGAGAGUGGAAAGUUCACACUGUGACGGUAGCUUACCAGAAAGGGACGGCUAACUACGUGCCAGCAGCCGCGGUAAUACGUAGGUCCCGAGCGUUGUCCGGAUUUAUUGGGCGUAAAGCGAGCGCAGGCGGUUUGAUAAGUCUGAAGUUAAAGGCUGUGGCUCAACCAUAGUUCGCUUUGGAAACUGUCAAACUUGAGUGCAGAAGGGGAGAGUGGAAUUCCAUGUGUAGCGGUGAAAUGCGUAGAUAUAUGGAGGAACACCGGUGGCGAAAGCGGCUCUCUGGUCUGUAACUGACGCUGAGGCUCGAAAGCGUGGGGAGCGAACAGGAUUAGAUACCCUGGUAGUCCACGCCGUAAACGAUGAGUGCUAGGUGUUGGAUCCUUUCCGGGAUUCAGUGCCGCAGCUAACGCAUUAAGCACUCCGCCUGGGGAGUACGACCGCAAGGUUGAAACUCAAAGGAAUUGACGGGGGCCCGCACAAGCGGUGGAGCAUGUGGUUUAAUUCGAAGCAACGCGAAGAACCUUACCAGGUCUUGACAUCCCGAUGCUAUUUCUAGAGAUAGAAAGUUACUUCGGUACAUCGGUGACAGGUGGUGCAUGGUUGUCGUCAGCUCGUGUCGUGAGAUGUUGGGUUAAGUCCCGCAACGAGCGCAACCCCUAUUGUUAGUUGCCAUCAUUCAGUUGGGCACUCUAGCGAGACUGCCGGUAAUAAACCGGAGGAAGGUGGGGAUGACGUCAAAUCAUCAUGCCCCUUAUGACCUGGGCUACACACGUGCUACAAUGGUUGGUACAACGAGUUGCGAGUCGGUGACGGCGAGCUAAUCUCUUAAAGCCAAUCUCAGUUCGGAUUGUAGGCUGCAACUCGCCUACAUGAAGUCGGAAUCGCUAGUAAUCGCGGAUCAGCACGCCGCGGUGAAUACGUUCCCGGGCCUUGUACACACCGCCCGUCACACCACGAGAGUUUGUAACACCCGAAGUCGGUGAGGUAACCUUUUGGAGCCAGCCCGGCCCCU